rnacentral:rRNA from 1 species
AUUGAACGCUGGCGGUAGGCCUAACACAUGCAAGUCGAACGGCAGCACAAUAAGCGUUUGUUUUUCCCGGUGGCGUGUGGCCGGGGGGUGAGGUAUCCAGCGGACUCCCCUUUUUCGGGGGGUAUAUCGUAGAGAGACUUACGAUAACACCGUAUACUCCCAAACGCAAAAAGGGGGACCUCUUGGCACCUUGCCCUCUUGAAUGCCCCGAUGUCGGAUUAGAUAGUUGGCGGGGUAACGGCCCACCAAGGCGACGAUCCGUAGCUGGUCUGAGAGGAUGAUCAGCCACACUGGAACUGAGACACGGUCCAGACUCCUACGGGAGGCAGCAGUGGGGAAUAUUGGACAAUGGGCGCAAGCCUGAUGCAGCCAUACCGCGUGUAUGAAGAAGGCCUUCGGGUUGUAAAGUCCUUUUAUCGGGAAUGAAGAGAGUAAAGUUAAUACCUCUCCGCACUGACGUUACCCAAAGAAGAAGCACCGGCUAACUUCGUG